GGGGACGUUACGGAUUCGACAGGGAUAGUUCGAGCUCAGGUUGCGCGUCGAGGUUACGGCUCGUAAAACGUUACUCGCCUAAAUAUAACUGGCAAAGAAAACAAUUACUCUUUAGCAGCUGCGUAAGCACUGCUUUAGGAUCCUUCCUACCAUCGCCUGUGUGGUAGAUUGAAGGGUCUCAAACUCAAGCAGGCUUUUUCCGAUUCCACCGUCUGAGGAUGAAGGAAGAACUUAAUCAGACUAGCCUUUGGGAAGCCUGUUGGUAGGCUGAACAAAUGGUGAAUGAUAAUAUAUCAACUACACGUGUAGAAGCCUGAGUGGCGUUAUCUCUGGACGUGGGUUCGAUUCCCACCGUCUCCACCA
rnacentral:tmRNA from 1 species